rnacentral:rRNA from 1 species
UACGGAGGGGGCUAGCGUUGUUCGGAAUUACUGGGCGUAAAGCGCACGUAGGCGGCUUUGUAGGUUAGAGGUGAAAGCCCAGGGCUUAACCCUGGAAUUGCCUUUAAGACUGCAUCGCUCGAAUUGUGGAGAGGUGAGUGGAAUUCCGAGUGUAGAGGUGAAAUUCGUAGAUAUUCGGAAGAACACCAGUGGCGAAGGCGGCUCACUGGACCGGUAUUGACGCUGAGGUGCGAAAGCGUGGGGAGCAAACAGG